rnacentral:SRP_RNA from 1 species
GCCGGGCUCAGCAACGUGGGCCUGUAACCCAAGUGGGGGCAUGAGGGAAAUGAGACUUUGGGCCGACCCGAGAGAUCGGAUUCAGUGUCGGCUGAUUACUGGUUCGCCCGUUCCAAGCAAAGAGCUGGGCUGGGUGAGUUGGACGAAGGUCUGGCUUACUCAGCUCCUAAAGCGGUGGGUAACGCGUGAGGCUGGCUUCACAGAGCAGCGACUACCUCCCGUUCUUGGCAGUGGAAGGACAACGAGCCGGUGCUGCCUGGGCUCACCAUGGUUCACUUGGCUGAUCCUAAUUGGACCAUUUCUUUU